AUGGAUUAUCCUGGCCAAGGUUUUGCUAAAUUGAAAUACAACGACUCAUUUUUCUCCAACUGUUGGAGUGGUCAAUCCCAUCUUGAUCACACUCUGACUUCGCAAGUACUUGACUGUGCCCAAAAAUCUUUCGUAACUGAAUUAGAAAUUCAGUUAGUCCAAUACCAAAGUAUAGUGAGUUGCUUGCAAGUCACUGAGGCGAUCUCAGAUC
rnacentral:lncRNA from 1 species